rnacentral:rRNA from 1 species
CCUACGGGAGGCUGCAGUGAGGAAUAUUGGUCAAUGGACGAGAGUCUGAACCAACCAAGUAGCGUGAAGGAUGACUGCCCUAUGGGUUGUAAACUUCUUUUAUAUGGGAAUAAAACGUUCCACGUGUGGGAUUUUGUAUGUACCAUAUGAAUAAGGAUCGGCUAACUCCGUGCCAGCAGCCGCGGUAAUACGGAGGAUCCGAGCGUUAUCCGGAUUUAUUGGGUUUAAAGGGAGCGUAGGUGGAUUGUUAAGUCAGUUGUGAAAGUUUGCGGCUCAACCGUAAAAUUGCAGUUGAAACUGGCAGUCUUGAGUACAGUAGAGGUGGGCGGAAUUCGUGGUGUAGCGGUGAAAUGCUUAGAUAUCACGAAGAACUCCGAUUGCGAAGGCAGUUCACUGGACUGCAACUGACACUGAGGCUCGAAAGUGUGGGUAUCAAACAGGAUUAGAUACCCCAGUAGUC